CGGCAGGCUUAACACAUGCAAGUCGAACGCUCCGCAAGGAGAGUGGCAGACGGGUGAGUAACGCGUGGGAAUCUACCCAUCUCUGCGGAAUAGCUCUGGGAAACUGGAAUUAAUACCGCAUACGCCCUACGGGGGAAAGAUUUAUCGGGGAUGGAUGAGCCCGCGUUGGAUUAGCUAGUUGGUGGGGUAAAGGCCUACCAAGGCGACGAUCCAUAGCUGGUCUGAGAGGAUGAUCAGCCACAUUGGGACUGAGACACGGCCCAAACUCC
rnacentral:rRNA from 1 species